AAGGAUUUUAUAUUUUAUAUUUUUAUGUGUAAAAAAUUCUAUAGCUAGUCGGACGAAUUAUUUAUCAAUUGUCAAUGAAACCUUUUGAUGGAGAGAGAUGCAUAAACAAGAAGAUAAAAGGACAGAAAUACAUAGCAUUUUUUUAUUUUUGAAAAUAAAGUCUAAUAACUUUUGUUUUUCUUGAAGGUUUACAAGUUUGAUCUAAAAUGGACCUUAAAAAGAAGAAAAAUCAACAAAGAGGAAACUAUCAGAAAAAGAAAAAACAUAAAAUCUAGGAAAAAUAAUCCUUCUGGCCAGCUUGCCAAACUCAAGGAUCAAAGGCACUAGCCUUGCCAGAAGCCACCAGUCUCUCAUCCUUGCCUAUAAAAGACUCAUAUCGAAAAGACAAAAAAGAAGGAAAAAGGGAUAGAAAACAUAGUGAAAGCAGGGGGGGUUUAGAAAUGAAGAGAUACAAGGAACAAGAGUAAGGGUAAAUGGCAGAUUUGAGGGAAACAGAGGCAAAAAAGAGGAAAAGAUAGAGAAGAGAAGAGAUAAAGACAGUAACCAAAAGAGAAGAGGCAGCAAAAGGGAGUUUGGAUAAAGAAGGAACAAAGGCCCACAGUAAAGGUGUCCAGCCUAGACCUUCAAUCCUUCUUCUGAAGUUGGAAGCGUUCGUGAUACAUCUCAAUAUGAUUCGCGAGUUUGCUUCUCUGUUUAAGUCUUGUGAUUUGGCAUGGUUAAGUCAAACAUCCUUCUGCUUUUCAGGCUUACUUUAGAGGAAUAUUGGAACAAACUUUUGUCUUUGGGAUCUGAGCAUGUAUGUAUGGACUGUGUUUGUUCUUGUCAGCGAGAGAAAUUGAAUCUCUUGAUUUGAUGUGUCUUUUAAACUCAUAUAGUUUGCUCACAAUUUAAUCUCAUUUACCAUGAAUAAAACUGAAAAAGAAUAGCUUACAACUGUCGAUUUCUUAAGAUUGCAAUCCCUCAGAUAUUUCGUGUUUGGUAUAAGAUCUGCCCCUGGUUUGUUUCAUGCAUUAACUUCUUAUUUUUUUGGUCAAGUCAUGAUUUCUUGAUAAAAGCUACUGUCUUUCUGG
rnacentral:lncRNA from 1 species